rnacentral:rRNA from 1 species
AUUUGAUAGUACCUUACUACUUGGAUAACCGUGGUAAUUCUAGAGCUAAUACAUGCUAAAAAUCCCGACUUCGGAAGGGAUGUAUUUAUUAGAUUAAAAACCAAUGCCCUUCGGGGCUCUCUGGUGAUUCAUGAUAACUUCUCGAAUCGCAUGGCCUUGUGCCGGCGAUGGUUCAUUCAAAUUUCUUCCCUAUCAACUUUCGAUGUUUGGGUAUUGGCCAAACAUGGUUGCAACGGGUAACGGAGGGUUAGGGCUCGACCCCGGAGAAGGAGCCUGAGAAACGGCUACUACAUCCAAGGAAGGCAGCAGGCGCGCAAAUUACCCAAUCCCGACACGGGGAGGUAGUGACAAUAAAUACUGAUACAGGGCUCUUUUGGGUCUUGUAAUUGGAAUGAGUACAAUUUAAAUCCCUUAACGAGGAACAAUUGGAGGGCAAGUCUGGUGCCAGCAGCCGCGGUAAUUCCAGCUCCAAUAGCGUAUAUUAAAGUUGUUGUGGUUAAAAAGCUCGUAGUUGAACCUUGGGCCUGGCUGGCCGGUCCGCCUCACCGCGUGUACUGGUCCGGCCGGGCCUUUCCCUCUGUGGAACCCCAUGCCCUUCACUGGGUGUGGCGGGGAAACAGGACUUUUACUUUGAAAAAAUUAGAGUGCUCCAGGCAGGCCUAUGCUCGAAUACAUUAGCAUGGAAUAAUAGAAUAGGACGUGUGGUUCUAUUUUGUUGGUUUCUAGGACCGCCGUAAUGAUUAAUAGGGACAGUCGGGGGCAUCAGUAUUCAAUUGUCAGAGGUGAAAUUCUUGGAUUUAUUGAAGACUAACUACUGCGAAAGCAUUUGCCAAGGAUGUUUUCAUUAAUCAGGAACGAAAGUUAGGGGAUCGAAAACGAUCAAAUACCGUCGUAGUCUUAACCAUAAACUAUGCCGACUAGGGAUCGGACGA